AUAUUUUAUCAAAAGAGAUAAAUAUACACUUAUACCCCAAAGGUAAAUUAAUUUAGACAUUACGGUUUAGAGUUAAGGGGUGGAGUUUAGGAUUUAGAGUUUAGGAUUUAGGGUUUAGAGUUAAGGGGUGAAGUUUAGGAUUUAGGAUUUAGGGUUUAAGGUUUAGAGUUUAGGGUUUAGGAUUUAGGUUUUAGGGUUUAGAGUUGGGGAGUGAGAUUUUGGGAUAAGAUUUCAAAUUUUGAAAAAUAAAAAAAAAUUAAAUUUUUCAAAAGAUAAAACGUUAUUUUGGGCAUUUUAGUUAUUGAAGAUUGUUUUUGUGACAUAAAUUUAGAAAUGUCAUAUUUUGGAUAUUUGGCCUUGCUGAUUUAUUUAAUUGUAAAUUUGUAAUGUAACGGGACAAACAUAAUAAAAUAACGUGUGUAGACUGAUAAGGACCAUGAUUAGAUUGUGAAGCGAAGGGGAUAACUAUAGAAAUAAAUAACAGUAUUUUAAAUUGCAUAGAGAUCUACAUUGUAUUUACUGAUUAUUAAUGAAUGAAGUUUUAGUGAUUUUGCAAAUGAUUUUGUUUACUAGUUGGGAGAUUUUUAGAUGAUUUUUAAAUAGUAAAUAUAAAAAAUUGAAAAUAUUUAAACAAUAAAAAUAUUUAAAAUAAAUUUCUAAUGUAAAAUAUUUUGGCGGCAAAAUAUAUAGAUUGUGUAUUCCAACAGUACAUUUAUUAUAACGGUUAUUCAAAAUUUUGUCGGGGUUUUUAACGGUUGUUGUUUUCCUAUAUCAUAA
rnacentral:lncRNA from 1 species